CAGCAGCUGCAAGGUCAGAAGUUUGAUAUGCUGAGGGAAAAGUGUCCUGGCAUUGCAUAUCUGAAGAUUGUGUUGAAUCAGGGAUAUGUAAAAGGUUAAAUGGGAGAAGAGCAGAGCGAGAGUGUGUGAGAGGAACAACUCUGCAGUCACCAAGGGCACUGCAGAAAGGAGAAAGAGGAGAAAGAGAUGUUCCACGUGCUGGAGCUCAGAUUGCCCUGCAGCCUGUGGUGCAGACCAGGGUGAGACAACUGUGUCUCUGCAGCCUGUGGAGGAGAUCCAUGGAGAAGCAGAGAUCCACCUGCAGCCCACAGAGGAGCCCCAUGCUGGAGAAAAUGGAGGCUGUGACCCUGUGGCAGACCUGUGGAGAGAAGGGCCCUGCCCCCAGGUUGGAGCAGCCUGUCCUUGGAGGACUGCACUCCAUGGAAGAGUGACCCACACUGCAGCAAUUUUGGGAGGGCUGUUGCCCAUGGGAUGGACUCAUGCUGGAGAAGUUCAUGGAGAACUGUCUCCCACAGGAGUGACCUCAGAGUGGCACAGGGGAAUGACCCCUCUCCCUGAGCUGUGGGAUAAACAACAGGGUUAGAGUUAAACAACUGACCAUAACCCAGAUUCCCUGUCUCCCUGCACCUCCAGGGUAGGAGGUUGAAUUGGGAAGGAGGGAGGGGAAGGGGGAAGGUGUUUUUAAGGUUUUAUUUUUCUUCUCAUUAUCC